GAACGCUGAAGAGAGGAGCUUGCUCUUCUUGGAUGAGUUGCGAACGGGUGAGUAACGCGUAGGUAACCUGCCUUGUAGCGGGGGAUAACUAUUGGAAACGAUAGCUAAUACCGCAUAACAAUGGAUGACACAUGUCAUUUAUUUGAAAGGGGCAAUUGCUCCACUACAAGAUGGACCUGCGUUGUAUUAGCUAGUAGGUGAGGUAAUGGCUCACCUAGGCGACGAUACAUAGCCGACCUGAGAGGGUGAUCGGCCACACUGGGACUGAGACACGGCCCAGACUCCUACGGGAGGCAGCAGUAGGGAAUCUUCGGCAAUGGGGGCAACCCUGACCGAGCAACGCCGCGUGAGUGAAGAAGGUUUUCGGAUCGUAAAGCUCUGUUGUAAGUCAAGAACGGGUGUGAGAGUGGAAAGUUCACACUGUGACGGUAGCUUACCAGAAAGGGACGGCUAACUACGUGCCAGCAGCCGCGGUAAUACGUAGGUCCCGAGCGUUGUCCGGAUUUAUUGGGCGUAAAGCGAGCGCAGGCGGUUUGAUAAGUCUGAAGUUAAAGGCUGUGGCUCAACCAUAGUUCGCUUUGGAAACUGUCAAACUUGAGUGCAGAAGGGGAGAGUGGAAUUCCAUGUGUAGCGGUGAAAUGCGUAGAUAUAUGGAGGAACACCGGUGGCGAAAGCGGCUCUCUGGUCUGUAACUGACGCUGAGGCUCGAAAGCGUGGGGAGCGAACAGGAUUAGAUACCCUGGUAGUCCACGCCGUAAACGAUGAGUGCUAGGUGUUGGAUCCUUUCCGGGAUUCAGUGCCGCAGCUAACGCAUUAAGCACUCCGCCUGGGGAGUACGACCGCAAGGUUGAAACUCAAAGGAAUUGACGGGGGCCCGCACAAGCGGUGGAGCAUGUGGUUUAAUUCGAAGCAACGCGAAGAACCUUACCAGGUCUUGACAUCCCGAUGCUAUUUCUAGAGAUAGAAAGUUACUUCGGUACAUCGGUGACAGGUGGUGCAUGGUUGUCGUCAGCUCGUGUCGUGAGAUGUUGGGUUAAGUCCCGCAACGAGCGCAACCCCUAUUGUUAGUUGCCAUCAUUCAGUUGGGCACUCUAGCGAGACUGCCGGUAAUAAACCGGAGGAAGGUGGGGAUGACGUCAAAUCAUCAUGCCCCUUAUGACCUGGGCUACACACGUGCUACAAUGGUUGGUACAACGAGUUGCGAGUCGGUGACGGCGAGCUAAUCUCUUAAAGCCAAUCUCAGUUCGGAUUGUAGGCUGCAACUCGCCUACAUGAAGUCGGAAUCGCUAGUAAUCGCGGAUCAGCACGCCGCGGUGAAUACGUUCCCGGGCCUUGUACACACCGCCCGUCACACCACGAGAGUUUGUAACACCCGAAGUCGGUGAGGUAACCUUUUGGAGCCAGCCGCCU
rnacentral:rRNA from 1 species